rnacentral:rRNA from 1 species
AGAAUCAACGCUGGCGGCGUGCCUAACACAUGCAAGUCGAGCGCGAAAGGGGAGCAAUCCCCAAGUAGAGCGGCGAACGGGUGAGUAACGCGUGGGUAAUCUGCCUCCGAGUGGGGAACAACAUCGGGAAACUGGUGCUAAUACCGCAUAACAUCGUCGGGUUUUCGGAUCUGACGAUCAAAGCCGGGGACCGCAAGGCCUGGCGCUUGGAGAGGAGCCCGCGUCCGAUUAGCUAGUUGGUGGGGUAAUGGCCUACCAAGGCUUCGAUCGGUA